GAUGAAGAACGCAGCGAAAUGCGAUAGGUAAUGUGAAUUGCAGAAUUCAGUGAAUCAUCGAGUCUUUGAACGCACAUUGCGCCCCCUGGUAUUCCGGGGGGCAUGCCUGUCCGAGCGUCAUUGCUGCCCUCAAGCACGGCUUGUGUGUUGGGCUUCCGUCCCUGGCAACGGGGACGGGCCCAAAAGGCAGUGGCGGCACCAUGUCUGGUCCUCGAGCGUAUGGGGCUUUGUCACCCGCUCCCGUAGGUCCAGCUGGCAGCUAGCCUCGCAACCAAUCUUUUUAACCAGGUUGACCUCGGAUCAGGUAGGGAUACCCGCUGAACUUAAGCAUAUCAAUAAGCGGAGGA
rnacentral:misc_RNA from 1 species